UGAGUGACGCGUGGGUAACCUGCCUCAUACAGGGGGAUAACAAGUUAGAAAUGACUGCUAACACCGCAUAAUAUAGCGAAACCGCAUGAUUUUGCUAUCAAAUAUUUAUAGGUAUGAGAUGGGCCCGCGUCUGAUUAGCUAGUUGGUGGGGUAAAAGCCUACCAAGGCGACGAUCAGUAGCCGGCUUGAGAGAGUGACCGGCCACAUUGGGACUGAGACACGGCCCAAACUCCUACGGGAGGCAGCAGGUGGGGAAUAUUGGACAAGUCGGGGGAAACCCUGAUCCAGCCGACGCCGCGUGAGUGAAGAAGUUAUUUCGGUAUGUAAAGCUCUAUCAGCAGGGAAGAUAAUGACAGUACCUGACUAAGAAGCCCCGGCUAACUACGUGCCAGCCGCCGC
rnacentral:rRNA from 1 species